rfam:Bacillus marisflavi strain JCM 11544 scaffold1, whole genome shotgun sequence.
CAAAAGGCUGUGACAGGGAGAGUACGUUUCAGCAAUAACCUUUAUCAGCGAAUCGGGGGCGGUGCAAGCCCGGUAGGGAAAUGAAGCGGAAGAUCACCCUUGAGCCCUGUCUGUGAACAAAUGCUAGCAGACGGCGACUGAUCCAUGUUACGGAUUUUCGAGUGAGGGCAAUUAUGCCCUUAUGAGGGUGGUACCGCGGGAAAAGCUUUCUCGUCCCUUUC